UCCCUGGUGGUCCAGUGGUUAGGACUCUGUGCUUUUACUGCAGAGGUCCUGGGUUCCAUCCCUGGUUGGGGAA